GGGGGGGUGGCCGAGAGGCUGAAGGCAGCGGUUUGCUAAACCGCCAUACGGUUGUAAAGCCGUAUCGUGGGUUCGAAUCCCACCCCCCCCGCCA
rnacentral:tRNA from 1 species